GCCCGAGUCGGGCUCCUCUUGGCCCGUUAUGAUUCGAAGCUGCGUCGUUUUGCCCGCGCCGUUGACGCCGACCAAGCCUACUUUCUCGCCGCGCUUCACCUCCCAGGAGACGUCUUUGAGGACGGUUAGGCCUUUGUAGGUUUUGCUUAUGUUCUCGAGCUUGACGCCGGAGGAGACGCCGGAGGAGGAGUUUUUUCCGUUGUUUCGUUUGCGGUCGGAGUCUUGUUGGGACGUUGGGGUGGAGAAGAGUGAUUCGACGUCGUUUUGUUGCUCUUUUACGGGGGCGAUUGUGGAGAGUUGGGAUGAUCUGAUUGUGGCGGAGGUUUCGCGCCUAGGGGUUGGAAAGGAGGAGACUUUGAUGAAGUUUGGAGAUGGGCGGAGGCCGCCGGGGAAGAGAGUGGAGCGGAGGUUGAUGGUGUGGAGGUUCGUGGAUAAACCCAUGAUUGAAAGUUUGGAUCUCGGGAGAGAAUCUUGCUCUACUGAAUCGAGAUGGAGCAGAGGAAGAAACUCUCUGGGCGAGCGAGAGAGAGAGAGUGUGGUUUGAUAAGAGGUUUCUUCUAUCUAAAUGGUUCUGUGUGAGCCAAGAGAUAUUUUAUUUUAUUGUAUUCGUUUAAUUAGAUUUAUUUUGUGUGGUUUGUUUUUGGUUUGCGUAUUUCUUUUGUUCCUUUUUCUUUCUAUAUAUUCCAAAUAUACAUAUCAUUAUCAUAAAUAUAAAAUUAAUGUUGUCAAAAAAACUAAUAGAAAAUAUAUAGCAAAACCUAUAAUUAAAAAGAUUUAGCAUCCUAAGACUAUCUCAUUAUUUUUUUUUAAAUAGAAUAAUUCUAUUUUCUACUCUAAAAUAUUAACUGUAUAACAGAUUUAAAUUACACUUCAAUAGUAUUCUAUUUUAUGGUGAGAGUGAUAAAUACACAAAAAAUGAAUUACUCAAUAAAUAUAAUAAACUUAUAUUUUAUUCUAUUAUAAAGUAUAAAAUAGAGUUGGGUUUGAGCUUUUUUAUUCUAAAUUCUAUUUUAGAAUGAAAUUAGUAUUUCUUAGUAAAUUUUAAAUAUACAUCAUUAUCAUCGAUAUAAAUUCAAUAGAAGAUAACAAAAGUAUGUCAAUAAUACAAAAGUCACAACAACAACAAAGAAAUAACAAGAAAAAUAUUGUAUGUGGUUGUGAGAGAAGAUGGUUGAAGAUAACACUGCGUAUUGCGUAAUCCGGUGAAGUUACCUCUUUGUGGUUCACAUCACUCCUUUGAACAAUUCACACUUCUCAUGAUCUGCCACUUGUCCAACUACAGCACCAAACAACGUAAGCUGCUCUGUGGAUGCCAUUAAGCCACCAAUGUUUCUUGUCUUCAAAGGGUAUUAGUAUUACUAUAUAAUUUCCAGAACGUUAGAAAAUUUGAAUAAUUGCCCGAGUCGGGCUCCUCUUGGCCCGUUAUGAUUCGAAGCUGCGUCGUUUUGCCCGCGCCGUUGACGCCGACCAAGCCUACUUUCUCGCCGCGCUUCACCUCCCAGGAGACGUCUUUGAGGACGGUUAGGCCUUUGUAGGUUUUGCUUAUGUUCUCGAGCUUGACGCCGGAGGAGACGCCGGAGGAGGAGUUUUUUCCGUUGUUUCGUUUGCGGUCGGAGUCUUGUUGGGACGUUGGGGUGGAGAAGAGUGAUUCGACGUCGUUUUGUUGCUCUUUUACGGGGGCGAUUGUGGAGAGUUGGGAUGAUCUGAUUGUGGCGGAG
rnacentral:lncRNA from 1 species